rnacentral:rRNA from 1 species
GAUGAACGCUGGCGGCGUGCCUAAUACAUGCAAGUCGAGCGAACGGACGAGAAGCUUGCUUCUCUGAUGUUAGCGGCGGACGGGUGAGUAACACGUGGAUAACCUACCUAUAAGACUGGGAUAACUUCGGGAAACCGGAGCUAAUACCGGAUAAUAUUUUGAACCGCAUGGUUCAAAAGUGAAAGACGGUCUUGCUGUCACUUAUAGAUGGAUCCGCGCUGCAUUAGCUAGUUGGUAAGGUAACGGCUUACCAAGGCAACGAUGCAUAGCCGACCUGAGAGGGUGAUCGGCCACACUGGAACUGAGACACGGUCCAGACUCCUACGGGAGGCAGCAGUAGGGAAUCUUCCGCAAUGGGCGAAAGCCUGACGGAGCAACGCCGCGUGAGUGAUGAAGGUCUUCGGAUCGUAAAACUCUGUUAUCAGGGAAGAACAUAUGUGUAAGUAACUGUGCACAUCUUGACGGUACCUAAUCAGAAAGCCACGGCUAACUACGUGCCAGCAGCCGCGGCAAUACGUAGGUGGCAAGCGUUAUCCGGAAUUAUUGGGCGUAAAGCGCGCGUAGGCGGUUUUUUAGUCUGAUGUGAAAGCCCACGGCUCAAUUGUGGAGGGUCAUUGGAAACUGGAAAACUUGAGUGCAGAAGAGGAAAGUGGAAUUCCAUGUGUAGCGGUGAAAUGCGCAGAGAUAUGGAGGAACACCAGUGGCGAAGGCGACUUUCUGGUCUGUAACUGACGCUGAUGUGCGAAAGCGUGGGGAUCAGACAGGAUUAGAUACCCUGGUAGUCCACGCCGUAAACGAUGAGUGCUAAGUGUUAGGGGGUUUCCGCCCCUUAGUGCUGCAGCUAACGCAUUAAGCACUCCGCCUGGGGAGUACGACCGCAAGGUUGAAACUCAAAGGAAUUGACGGGGACCCGCACAAGCGGUGGAGCAUGUGGUUUAAUUCGAAGCAACGCGAAGAACCUUACCAAAUCUUGACAUCCUUUGACAACUCUAGAGAUAGAGCUUUCCCCUUCGGGGGACAAAGUGACAGGUGGUGCAUGGUUGUCGUCAGCUCGUGUCGUGAGAUGUUGGGUUAAGUCCCGCAACGAGCGCAACCCUUAAGCUUAGUUGCCAUCAUUAAGUUGGGCACUCUAAGUUGACUGCCGGUGACAAACCGGAGGAAGGUGGGAUGACGUCAAAUCAUCAUGCCCCUUAUGAUUUGGGCUACACACGUGCUACAAUGGACAAUACAAAGGGCAGCGAAACCGCGAGGUCAAGCAAAUCCCAUAAAGUUGUUCUCAGUUCGGAUUGUAGUCUGCAACUCGACUACAUGAAGCUGGAAUCGCUAGUAAUCGUAGAUCAGCAUGCUACGGUGAAUACGUUCCCGGGUCU